rnacentral:rRNA from 1 species
ACUCAAAGGAAUUGACGGGGGCCCGCACAAGCGGUGGAGCAUGUGGUUUAAUUCGAUGCAACGCGAAAAACCUUACCUGGGUUUGACAUCCUCUGACAGCUCCAGAGAUGGAGUCUCCCCUUCGGGGGCAGAGAGACAGGUGCUGCAUGGCUGUCGUCAGCUCGUAUCGUGAGAUGUCGGGUUAAGUCCCUUAACGAGCGCAACCCUUAUCCCUAGUUGCCAUCAUUCAGUUGGGCACUCUAUGGAGACUGCCGGUGUUAAACCGGAGGAAGGCGGGGAUGACGUCAAGUCCUCAUGGCCCUUAUAUCCAGGGCAACACACGUGCUACAAUGGCGGACACAGAGGGUUGCCAACCUGCAAAGGGGAGCUAAUCUCAGAAAGUCCGUCUCAGUUCGGAUUGAAGUCUGCAAUUCGACUUCAUGAAGCUGGAAUCGCUAGUAAUCGCAGAUCAGCACGCUGCGGUGAAUACGUUCCCGGGCCUUGCACACACCGCCCGU